AUGGCCGUUCCUAACUUUGAAGAGACUUUAGACAUUCUUUGUUACAAUGAGCCCAGAAGAAAGAAGAGAAAUAUUACAGCGACUGUGCCCGGGACUGUAAGACGGAUAAGACCCAGCAGAAUAACUGCCAUGGAAGGAUGCUCCUCCUGCCAAUUGGCACUUAUCAAUGACAUCGAGGGAGAGGGACAGAGUGCCUAG
ensembl:lincRNA uncharacterized LOC110290046